rnacentral:rRNA from 1 species
AACGAACGCUGGCGGCAGGCCUAACACAUGCAAGUCGAGCGCGCCCUUCGGGGUGAGCGGCGGACGGGUGAGUAACGCGUGGGAACGUGCCCUUCUCUGCGGAAUAGCCUCGGGAAACUGAGAGUAAUACCGCAUACGCCCUUUGGGGGAAAGAUUUAUCGGAGAAGGAUCGGCCCGCGUUGGAUUAGGUAGUUGGUGGGGUAAUGGCCCACCAAGCCGACGAUCCAUAGCUGGGUUGAGAGGAUGAUCAGCCACACUGGGACUGAGACACGGCCCAGACUCCUACGGGAGGCAGCAGUGGGGAAUCUUAGACAAUGGGGGCAACCCUGAUCUAGCCAUGCCGGGUGAGUGAUGAAGGCCUUAGGGUUGUAAAGCUCUUUCAGCUGGGAAGAUAAUGACGGUACCAGCAGAAGAAGCCCCGGCUAACUCCGUG